AAAAACAUUAUUUAUUAUAAGGAACACUUAUCCAAACAAAACUUUAUUAUAGAUCAACCAUGCUCCUCAAGACUUGUCUCCCUUCCUCCACCAUAGCCACAAAAUCUCCACUCAUUUCCUUCUCCAAAUCCACUCUUCUUCUCCCUCCUUUUUCCCGUAAAGUUUCUUCAACCUUUCCUCGGACUUCCAAAACCCCAUCUCUCUACUCUCCACCAAAGAUGAGUUGGCUCAACAAAUUGGGUUUUGGUGCUCGUACUGAUACUCCAAUGGAUUCUUCUUCCUCUGCAAUUCCACAAGGACCUGACACCGACAUCCCUGCCCCAGGCCAACAGUUUGUCCAAUUUGGGGCUGGAUGCUUUUGGGGGGUUGAAUUGGCCUUUCAGAGAGUGCCUGGUGUUACCAAGACAGAAGUUGGAUAUUCACAAGGGUAUUUGGAUAAUCCUACGUAUGAAGAUAUUUGCUCUGGGAAUACCUUUCAUUCAGAGGUUGUUAGAGUUCAGUAUGAUCCUAAUGAAUGUAGCUAUGAAUCAUUGCUUGAUGUUUUCUGGGCUCGUCAUGAUCCUACUACCCUCAAUCGCCAGGGGAAUGAUGUGGGCACUCAGUACAGGUCUGGAAUUUACUUCUACACACCUGAGCAAGAGAAGGCAGCACUUGAAUCCCAAGACAAACAGCAAAAGAUUUUGAACAGGAAGAUUGUUACUGAGAUUUUGCCCGCCAAGAAAUUUUAUCGAGCUGAGGAAGAUCAUCAGCAGUACCUUGCAAAGGGGGGUCGGUUUGGCUCAAAGCAGUCUGCUGGUAAAGGCUGCAGUGAUCCUAUCCGUUGCUAUGGUUAAAACCUUUCCAUUUGCAGGACAAAAAUAAUGUUAGUUGUGUCUAUCCUCCUAAGGUGUGGUUGUUACAGGCUUUAAAUGUGCUUCUACAGUGAUGUAUCUAGUCUACCCGCUAACACUUGUUCUGGAAAAUCCAAUGUUUGUAGCUUCACCGUAGAUUUAUAAUGUUUAUAUGGUUGCAGAUUUGUGCCGUAUCUUGUUCGUAUAUGUAUAUUGAUGAUGCUAUGGCCAUAAAUUGGAAUAGUGCCUGUCAAUCAGUUGUGUCAAAUUUGAGUUAUGAAAGUCAAUGUCGG
rnacentral:misc_RNA from 1 species